AGGUAUUUCUCAAACUGUGAAAUUGGGGAAUGACAUGACAAUGGAUGUGGUAGCAAAAGGAAAUGUAAGAAUGCAAGUUAAUGGUGUCACUCAAGUAAUCUCAGAUGUCUACUUUGUUCCUGAGCUUAAGAAUAAUCUGCUUAGCUUAGGACAGCUUCAACAAAAAGGGCUGGCAAUAUUGAUUCAAAAUGGAAUAUGUAAAGUAUUUCACU
rnacentral:lncRNA from 1 species